rnacentral:lncRNA from 7 species
CAUCAGUGUGAAUUUAGUCAGGUCCUGACCACUCUCAUCCUCGAGCAUAUCAUCACACAGUUGCCCCUGCAACUGCUUCAGUAAAGCAGACUAAGAUCUACAUGGAGCCUCAUCCUGUCUUCAGAUACUCCCCUUUGCAGUUUGUACAGAUUAAACCAUGUCUUGUAACUCUGGAGAAGAUGAAACUCCCAGUGAACUUGUAAUGGACAGCCCUGAAGACACAUGCAAUAACCACUGAGUCUCAUCCAAGAGAGCAGGGAAGUUCCUGGAAUGUAGGCCAGUCAUUUCAAUCUAACAAAAAACAGUGAGUAAAUAGCUACUGGAAGAAUUCUCGGGAUUUAUGAAAGCAAUUGUUGUUUGCCAGGAGCUAGAUUACAAAGGAGACCAUCCCCAAUGCAAUGGCAGGAAAAUAUGAUGAAGACUCCAGGCAUUCAAGCCAACGUUUAAGUCUGUUCUUUUGCAAUCAAAAAUCAGUGACUGCAGUCAAAAUCACUGUCGUGGACUUGCAUGUUGCACAAACAUCCAUAAAAUUACUCAUGUGGU